UACUCACGUCAGAUUUAUCUCCUAUAACACUUCCUUAUACACCUGUGAUUCAAGAAAUCUUCCGGUGAGGGGACGUAUAAAAACAAGUCUUGUGGCGCUUCGGAGGCAUCAGAGUAUCAUCGAGGCUUGGAGAGGCGAGACCCUCAGAUUCGAAGAUGAAAUUAUUCGGUGUAACACUUGCGAUUCUUUCCGUUGUCCUGUUUGUAUCAUCAGUAGCUGUUUCAUUAGUAGUCGAGAGAACAGAGUUUGAAUCGUCCAGGGGCGUCGUGGGAACUUAUAUUCUUGACAACACCGAUGCCGAUUUUGAGAGGAGGGACGGCGUUGGAGGCUUGGCCAACCCUUGAUGUACAGAUCUGAGUUACAAGGAUGAGGGUCAUGUGGAAAAGUAUUAGUAUUUGAAUGUUAGAGCGAAAUAUUCAGCGUCAUUAAAAUUUCAUUUUGCACAUAAUUAUUAUCUUUUUAAACAUUUGUUGUUUGUAAAUAAAUAAUGGAAAUUGUGUAAACUUCCGGAAUCCUCAUAUUUUUCGGCAUGAAAUCGAUUUCUGGUAAAUUCUGAAUACGAAUAAAUUUGUUAUGAUUCCGAAUACAUGA